rnacentral:rRNA from 1 species
UACGGGGGGGGCAAGCGUUGUUCGGAAUUACUGGGCGUAAAGCGUGCGUAGACGGUUAUGUAAGUCAGGGGUGAAAUCCCGGAGCUCAACUCCGGAACUGCCUUUGAUACUGGGUGUCUUGAGUGUGGAAGAGGUGAGUGGAAUUCCGAGUGUAGAGGUGAAAUUCGUAGAUAUUCGGAGGAACACCAGUGGCGAAGGCGGCUCACUGGUCCAUUACUGACGCUGAAGAACGAAAGCUAGGGGAGCAAACAGG